UUGAAGGCCGGUGUAAGUGCACACAGCAGCAGAGCUGACCAUUUCUCUUCUUCAGCAAGUGCAGAACAGAGCCCGUGGUACAGAGUGGGGUCUACAUUUCCUGUUGCAGGAAAGGCAAGAAAAAGCUACGCUGUGUGGUAGCAAUUACUGCUUCAUACCAAUAAGCUUUAGUACAUUGCUACACCUGGCUCAUUUCUUGGAUGUUAUGCACAAGGGGUCUUUAUUAAUCACAGCAGUUGCAGGAAUGACCUGGAACACGCAGAGUAUUGAAAGAAGGUAUUCUACAUAACACAUGAAUACUUUGUGUGUCAGAGUAAUUAAGACUCAGAGCUGUGUUUAAAUGUUGUAACACUGCACACUUAAUAACAGUCUAGGGCUAGGCAGACCAUAAUUAAUUGCUCUCUAAAGCACAAUUUGUAAUAAGCAAUGUUGUCCUUACAACUCUGAUGAUUGAGAUCAUCUCUGAAUCAUCAGUUGAAAUGACACACCCAAAGUCAGCCAUUAUCUCUAUGUAUUCUUACUAUCAUGGUCUGAUAGGGAUGGUCUUUAAUAUUCAUGCAUAGAGCAUUCACAUCCAUGACAGCUCUUUAAUGCCAGAUCAGAUUUUUGGUAUUGUUGUUACUAAGCAGUAAAAGUGGUUAGUCUUAGCAGGAGGCCCUUAAUAAGUGAACUAACAACAGUUAAGUUUAAAAUAAAAUGGUAGUGUAUUUUAUGUAAUGUUACUUAAUUUAAAUUUAUAGUUCUAACAAACCUUAGAUCUUUCCAAAUUACAAAAGUUCUAAAAUUCUGGUAAUCAUGCAGCUAUGUAAAAUAUCAUCCUUUUGACAUACUAUUACAUAGAAUUCCUAAUCGGAAUGCUGAAAUAGACAGCAGAACCCCUUCAACUCACUCAGAGGAGACUAUGACUUUUAACUAAUGGAAAAAUGCAAACCAAUUAUUUGUUUACAUUGCAUCUGAUGGAAAAAUAUUGUUGGACAGGUGUCUUCCUCUGCUGUUUCCAUGGGAGGUGGUUUUUAGUUUGAUUACACUUGGAUGUUAAUAAACGUUUCAUUUCUAUUCUAGUUUGGUGCUGUUUUUCAUUAAAUCUCUUGAGACCAGCAGUAAGUAUGGUUUUUCUGUGUCCCUGAUGAUUCUGAAAUCUUGACAGUCAAAACACUGCAAGCAAUUUACAGCUUCCUCUGGCUUUAGCUGAAAUUAACUACCUGAACCUCAGAUAAUCAAGUGGCAAAUUUCCCUGGGUGUCACUCCAGUGCUGAAAUUUAUCCAUUGUCAGUAUUAUACAAGUUCCUUAUAUUUUUGGUGAAUUCUCACUUUGCAUUUCAACAGUUAAAGACAAGACUUCAUGUCCUUUGAUUUGCAGCCUUCAGAAACAUGACAGAUUAACUAAACUCUUUAGGUGGCUCUCUAAUUUCAGGGUGAGUUGUGUGACAGUGACAGUGUAAUUAAAACUACAAUUCUGAGCUUUUUCAUAUUUUUUUUCUAGCACACAUACAAGCUACUUGUAUCAUAUGAAAGGAAAGAAUAAUAAUUUCCUGUGCCUUUUUUUUUUUUUUACUGAAGAUUUAACUCACCGAUUGUAUCAGUCUCCCUUCUGCACCUCACAAUAAUGUAAACAGGUAGAUUUGUCAACACAUGUAAGUGGGUUUUCUUAUGAUUUCCUGGGAUGUAUCUGGUGGCUGUAGUCAGAGACAGCAUAUUUUCUGGAUAAAAUGGAUCUAAUCCAAUAUAGGUAAACCCAGAUCUAGUUUUGAUCAAGUUAUUACACCUCCAACGGCUUUGUUUCCCCAUUAAUACUAUGAACUUAAUGUACUGGUCUCCUUUUAAUGUGACACCAGAUUUAUAGAGGUGAAGUGCUGCUAAAUAACAUUUUAUCAUCAAGUCCUGCAUCCCUGGAACUUGGGUUAAGGUGAAGGUGUUUGCAUGUUGUUCAUUUGUUCUUUCUGAAAUAUCUAUCCGCUUUGCAUUUAUUUUUUAGAAGAUGGCAUAGAUUUUGAGGUUCAAGGAAAUGCUUCCUGCACUUGAAAGGAGCUGCCUCACUUUAUUGACCCUUUACAGCCUUAAGAUGUCUUAACUACAGGAGAGUUUCUGGCAUGACUCAUCCUGGAAUCGAACCUCCCAGGAAUGUACAUCAGCAGAGCAGAAUUGUAAAGUAAGCAGGUUUUCCCACUUCUGACUAUUUUUGGCUGAGGUUGAGAACCCCAUGUGUCUUAGAUUCCAUAUUUCUUAAGCUGAAGGCUCUUUUUAGAAGUUCUUGCACCUAAGAAAACCAGGGUGAAGACUGAAGAGCCUGCAGACCUGGUCUCCAGCUGAGAGAUACCCAGUGGGUGGGCUCCAGUUGGACUUGAAAAUGCGUGCACUGGGUGCUCUACAUGCUUUGCUUUAGCUGUGUGGCUUAUACAGUGGAGGUACAGCCUUCUGUUUUAGUCCUAAAGCUGCCAUUCUUCAUCUGUGGUCAAAACAAAAGAGUAGUAUUUUCUGCUAUGGAAAAGCUCCUUUCUAGUAAACUAAAAGCAGAGUGCUAAUAUUUUUUAAGUAUUUUGUUAAAACAAAUGUGGGUGAAGAAAACAUUUAAAAAUAUAACAGACGAAAUCUAUAUGGUUUGAAAUUUGAAGCAUUUCUAUUAUUGAAUGAUUGCUGUGAGGAGUCCUACUCUUUUCCUUUAAAAUUUUCAAAGAUAAACCACAUUCACACAUGAAAUUUGUUAAAGUUGUACUUGUAGCAUAGAUGCUAUGCAAAACAUAUUGUUAUUACAAAAGCAAGUAAUUUGAUAGUAAAUUUAAAUGAAGAAGAAAUGGGAUUUCUCCUCCUUCAAAUAACCUGAUUUUAAUGUUAAUGAAACCUUGACAAAAAUAAAAAAAUCUCAUGGAAGGGUAAAAGCUAUUGAGUAUUACAGAAAAGAACCACUUUAAAGUGGCCAAAAGAGCCUAAGGUGAUGCACAAGCACUGACCACAUUGCUCCUUCUGAGUUUUAUUCUGGUCAGAUGUAGUUGCUCUGGGUAAGGUGUGAAAGAACUGACAAAAUGUGCACAUGCUGUAGGCAGUCCAAAUGUGACAAAUAUGGUUUAGCAUGUUAAAAUCUGGGGGUUAGCUAAUUUUUUCAAGAGGUCACUUGCCCAAGAACAGUACGUGUUUGUUUUCAUGUCAGCGUACCCAAGAGAUGCAGCUUCUUGGUCUCCUCCCAUGUUUCUCUGUGGCCUUUAGUGGAGCCCAGUUACGAAGCUUUUUCCGACAUAAGCCCCUAUGCUGUACGAAAUAAGCCCCUAUGACAGAAGCCCCUGUGCCUGCAGAUGUUGACUGGCAGGGGGUCUGAGAAGCAGACUCCUUUCACAAACAGCCUUACCUGGCUGAAGAGUGUUAUCCCAAAUUUUGUUUAGAUGUGUCUAGUUGAGCAAAUUGUUGUUGAUGGUAGGUAUGCUGGGAUGCUUGUGUUCAUCAGUGAUUCUCUUCAGGUAUUUCAGCCUGCAAUAUCUCGCAUGUGCAAUGAAAAUAAUUCUUUCUUCUUAUGUGAGGGUUUAGGUGAAUAAUUUCUCUGAAGUUCUCCUGAUAUCUAUUUCAUCUUUGAGGGACAUAUUGAUGUAACAAUGAAUACACACAAAGAGUGUCAGCAGCCUGGAGAGCAGAGUGGGACUUCAGCUUUGUCUUUUCUCUGGUGCUUUCUCAGGCUACAUACAGUGUCCACAGUUCUCUGCCUUCAAAAAUAUCUCAGAUUAGCAUCCAAAAGUAUUAAUAUCUGUACACUUUGGAGAGGUAACAUAUGCAAAUAUAUAAUAUUUGAGUUGAGAUUUUUACUCAAGAAGGGGUAUGCGCACAAGAAUAUUUUCAAAGAAUUUAUAAAUUACUAUUGUCCUCUGCAGACCCUAAUUCCUUAUGCCAUGCAGUAGCUGGCAUUCCCCACCACCAGCCAACUAUAAUAAAUUCAUUCACAUACACAAACUUCAUUGAAGUCUUGUUUUUCUAGUUCUUAAAGACACUUCACCCAUGAUUGACAUGGUUUAGUUCAUAUGACACACCCUCUGAGCACUGCUGACCACAGAGAACGUUGAUUACCUAGUAUUAGGCUCCAUGUAUUUUCCAAAUUCUUCCCAUAGUUUACUGAUGACGCAAAGGAAGUAUUCUGUGCCAGUUCUGUGACCAUUGCAGAACAGCAAUACAAGUAGUAGAGCAAACACUCUGAGGUACAGAAGCUGCACAAGCCUCAACAGGUUAAGAAGAGUAAGAAAUAUGGGCUAUAGUUGGCCAGGAAUUGAUUUUUAAUGACAGGGAUACAGUAAAUUGUGCAUACCUGAGGAAAAAUCAAGAAUGUCACAGUCCUCUAUCCUCUUGUCUUGGUACAUGCAAGUAGAAGGCAGGAUACAGAUCACAGAAAUUACAUACUGAUCAUAUUAGAAUUUCAGGUGAAGAGUCAUGAAAUUAAAUAGGCAAAGGCGAUUCCCUUCUGAGUGAAAAUUUUGAAAACAGAACCAAGCAAAAGACUCAGAGAGAUUUCUCCACUGAGAAAUAUAUACUGCAUCUGGCAGCAUUUCAACUUUUCUUCUCCCACUACUCUAAGAGCAUAAUGAUGUUGUUAUUACAAAUGGGAAAUACCCAACAUGCCUUCUUGUGGCUUCAAGAAUAUUUGCAAUGAGGAAAAAAUACAUCUUUAUUCACACUGGAUUCAGUCUCACAUACAUUAAAAUAAUUAGAAAUGUACAGCUGUUCAGGUCUCUCCUAUCUUCAAUUUACUCUCUAAAUUACUUUCUUGAAUGAUUUUUAUCUUUUUAUUGACUCUCUUUUCCCACUUAGAAACACUACAGGUCCUCUUGACUAAUUACAGCAUUAAAACAACCAUUAUAAAGAGUUUCAAAGGAGCAGCUGAUCAAAUGAUCCUUAAAUGAUUUCCAAAGUUAAUUUAUGCCUAUUGUCUAGUCUUGUCUCUAGAUAAUUUAUUUCGUGUAAAAGAUGUAGAACUACUCAAGAACAUAAGGUCUGAAAGAGAAUUGUAUUGAAAAACUACAUAGACUUAAAAGCUUAAAUGUCAGACCAUGGUAAGAGAUAACAGAAAUUUGAAACAAAAAAUCAUCCCACUGAUGUUCCACAAUAUCUUUUAUGAGAGGACUUCUAUCAAAGCACUUGGUGAUACCUUUGUCAGAUGAAGCAUGCUGGCAUAGCUGGAUUUUGGCCAUAGUUCUAGCAAACACAAUCAGUUCUUUUAUAGUUUGGUGUAUUCCUCUUUAUUAGCCACAAAAAUAGGCAUUUGCUAAACAACUUUUCAGAAAAGGAGAACAGACAUUAAUAUUUAAAAAUAUUUAAAAAUAUUUAAACCAGUCUUGAUCUGGCUGUAACUUCUUCAGUUUUCAAAAUUCUACAGGAUAUUUAUAAAUUCCUGAAGAAACUGGAGCCGUAUUAGCUGUACUUUUACUACAUAAAAACCACUUCAUUGUAAUUGUUAUCUUUGAAAUUUUGAUGCAUUGUGAAAUGGCUUCAUAAAGUGCCAACCUCCCACAUAGGGGUGAAAUUGGCAAAUGAUUCUGUUAUUAAGGGUGUGUGUGUACACAUAUAUAUCAGUGUGAAUAAGGAUAUGCAAAUGUAUGUAGAUAUUCAUGUUCUAGAAACAGUUACAACUUUCAUUUUCAGCUCUGCGUGGGAGGCAGUUUCCUUCCAUGGAGAGCACACAUCUAUCUAUUGAGCAGAGAGGAGAACCCCAUGGUUAGUACUCAGCAGGAAAUGCUGAGUCCAGACUGCUGCCUCUAUGGUGUCUGACAGGACAACAGGAGCUUAGCAGCCUGCAGAGCCCAUCUGCCCUGAGAGGACAAAGCUGGGAUGCUGCUAAGCAAGCCUGUGGGUUAUCCUGCAUCUGCACGGGGCAGCAGGAAAGCAGGGUUACCCAUACACUCUGCAGCUGCUUUGGUUUGCCCAGCCUGUAGCUAAGGAAAUUAGGGGAAAGAACUGAAAGUACUGGGAGUGAUGGGAAAGGAUGAAUUUGUGAUUGGAUGCAGCGUAGAGGGUGUGUGAGAGGGGUCUGUGGCAGCUACAUGCUGGGUCACACUGUCCAUGCCUUACUGUCCACAGGGAACUCAACUGAAUGCCUUCCCACAGAACUUGCUCUUCCUGUGUGCCACCAGGGAAGCACUACAGUGUAUUCUACUGCUCAUGGACUAGGGAAAAGCCCUGCAUGCCAAUUAGUGCCAACAAAUUACCAAGGCAUCAGUAGUCAGUCUCCAGCAUGCUGAACACUCCCUAGAAUCUACAGCAAAUCCAGGUUUCUUGUCCUUGAGUUUAGAAAAGCAGUGUAUUAAUGCUAAAACUGCUUCUGAGGAGGAAGCUUCCUUGGAGACAGCCUAACUUUUAAAAAACAAAACUAAAAAUGAGUAAGACACAGGCUUAAGGAAAUGUUUGUUGUGUGUCCAUAACACUGACAUCCUGACCACUCCUUUAUUUUUUUUUUUUUUAAAUUUUAUAAAUUAUGUGUCUGGCUAUUGAAGUACUGUAGAUAGAAAGGGUUCUGCGGAGUACAAAGUGAAAUUUGGGCUGCUAUUCCAAAAUUAGGCUGGAUGAGAAUUUCCUAUAAAUGAGGCAGCUCAAAAUGUUACAGGGAUUUCUUGCCAAAUUUCUGAUCCCCACCUUAAAAUUUCUCUCCCAGCAAUCACGAGAUGAUGAAGCAAGCUCCAUAAUAUAUUAGUUUUCUCCUAAAGGCCAGAAGGAAUUGUUCUUUCCUUUGCUCAGAGAUAAGAAACCAACACUAUGUUUCCCAGUGCCACUAUGGUCUAAACUAAUGCCAGCACCAUCAUAAAUCCUGCCCUGCCAUCAGUUCCAUUUCAACACAAUCUGAAAGGACAUAACCAUUUUUUUUGUUACCAUAAACUGAAAGAAAAAACACACUUCUGUGACAGGAAAAAAAAUCUUGGAAUCAUGUCAAAGCAGAGAUGGAAGAACACAGAAAAAGAGCUAAGAACUGGAAUUUCUAUUAUGGUAUAAAAUAAGUAAGUUCUCCAUUUUCUGCUCAUGACCAGACAUGAAAGGUAUGCAGCAGCACUGCAUGUCAGGGACAUUCUUCUUAGUGAGGGACAAGUAUUUGCCUGCAUCCACAAGCUGCCAAUUCAAGGGUUCAAAACAUUUCGGGCUAAAGGAGGUACAUAAGGAGGGACCUGCUGAUGGACAUGCUGAGAGGCUUCCUUGGUCAGCUGGGGUUUUCUGAAAUGCAGGAAUCCCAGCCAGACCAGCACUGCAGGACUUGAUGCAACAAGGAAAGGGCUGUAAUAAAAGAUCAGUUAGAUGUUACACUGACCUU
rnacentral:lncRNA from 1 species